rnacentral:rRNA from 1 species
GAGAUGGACUGGUGCCUUCGGGAACUGUGAGACAGGUGCUGCAUGGCUGUCGUCAGCUCGUGUUGUGAAAUGUUGGGUUAAGUCCCGCAACGAGCGCAACCCUUAUCCUUUGUUGCCAGCGGUUAGGUCGGGAACUCAAAGGAGACUGCCAGUGAUAAACUGGAGGAAGGUGGGGAUGACGUCAAGUCAUCAUGGCCCUUACGACCAGGGCUACACACGUGCUACAAUGGCGCAUACAAAGAGAAGCGACCUCGCGAGAGCAAGCGGACCUCAUAAAGUGCGUCGUAGUCCGGAUUGGAGUCUGCAACUCGACUCCAUGAAGUCGGAAUCGCUAGUAAUCGUGGAUCAGAAUGCCACGGUGAAUACGUUCCCGGGCCUUGUACACACCGCCCGUCACACCAUGGGAGUGGGUUGCAAAAGAAGUAGGUAGCUUAACCUUCGGGAGGGCGCUUACCACUUUGUGAUUCAUGACUGGGGUGAAGUCGUAACAAGGUAACCGUAGGGGAACCUGC